rnacentral:rRNA from 1 species
GAGCGAACGUUAGCGGCACGCUUAACACAUGCAAGUCGCACGAGAGUGGAGCAAUCCAUGAAAGUGGCGCACGGGUGCGUAACACGUAGAUAAUCUGCCCUAAAGAGGGGGAUAACGUUCCGAAAGGAGCGCUAAUACCGCAUACAGCAGUUCCUGGUUCGCUAGGGAUUGGCAAAGGCUGGGAUCGCAAGACCAGUCGCUUUAGGAGGAGUCUGCGGCCCAUCAGCUAGUUGGUAAGGUAAUGGCUUACCAAGGCAGAGACGGGUAGCUGGUCUGAGAGGAUGAUCAGCCACACUGGUACUGGAACACGGACCAGACUCCUACGGGAGGCAGCAGUGGGGAAUCUUGGUCAAUGGGCGAAAGCCUGAACCAGCGAUGCCGCGUGAGUGAUGAAGGCCUUCGGGUUGUAAAGCUCUGUGGGGCGAGACGAAAGCCUACGUUCUAACAGGACGUAGUUUGACGGUAUCGCCUUAGCAAGCACCGGCUAACUCUGUGCCAGCAGCCGCGGUAAGACAGAGGGUGCAAACGUUGCUCGGAAUCACUGGGCGUAAAGGGCGCGUAGGCGGACAAGUAAGUCGGGCGUGAAAUCCCUAGGCUCAACCUAGGAACUGCACUCGAAACUGCAUGUCUUGAGUACCGGAGAGGAAAGCGGAAUACCUGGUGUAGAGGUGAAAUUCGUAGAUAUCAGGUGGAACACCAGUGGCGAAGGCGGCUUUCUGGACGGUAACUGACGCUGAGGCGCGAAAGCGUGGGGAGCAAACAGGAUUAGAUACCCUGGUAGUCCACGCUGUAAACGAUGAGCGCUAGGUGUCGUGGGUAUUGACCCCCGCGGUGCCGAAGCUAAC